rnacentral:rRNA from 1 species
ACUCUGUCCUCCUGUCNAGGGUCUACGUCUUUACACACACACUGUAACNAAGUCUCAUGGAAUGUAUGCCGCGUUUAACGCAAUACAAUACAACUUUCAGCAACGGAUCUCUUGGCUCUCGCAUCGAUGAAGAACGCAGCGAAAUGCGAUAAGUAAUGUGAAUUGCAGAAUUCAGUGAAUCAUCGAAUCUUUGAACGCACCUUGCGCCCUUUGGCUAUUCCGAAGGGCAUGCCUGUUUGAGUAUCAUGAACACCUCAACUCUCGUGGUUUGCUACGAUGAGCUUGGACUUUGGGGGUCUUGCUGGCCUGUGGUCGGCUCCUCUCAAACGAAUCAGCUUCCCAGUGUUUGGUGGCGUCGCAGGUGUGAUAACUAUCUACGCUUGUGGUUUCCACCAGAUAACCUUCGGUGACGGAGGUUCGCUUGGGGCCUCAUAAACGUCUUUCCUCAGUGAAGACAGCUUUUUUGAACGUUUUGAUCUCAAAUCAGGUAGGACUACCCGCUGAACUUUAAG